AUACGGAGGAUCCGAGCGUUAUCCGGAUUUAUUGGGUUUAAAGGGUGCGCAGGCGGCCAUUUAAGUCAGCGGUUAAAUCGUGGGGCUCAACCCCAUUCUGCCGUUGAUACUGGGUGGCUUGAUUGCGGUCGAGGUUGGCGGAAUUCGUUGUGUAGCGGUGAAAUGCAUAGAUAUGACGAAGAACUCCGAUCGCGAAGGCAGCUCACCGGGCCGGAACUGACACUGAUGCUCGAAAGUGCGGGUAUCAAACAGGAUUAGAUACCCUGGUAGUCCGCACAGUAAACGAUGAAUACUCGCUGUUUGCGAUACACGGUAAGCGGCCAAGCGAAAGCGUUAAGUAUUCCACCUGGGGAGUACGCCGGAAACGGUGAAACUCAAAGGAAUUGACGGG
rnacentral:rRNA from 1 species